rnacentral:rRNA from 1 species
GACGAACGCUGGCGGCGUGCCUAAUACAUGCAAGUAGAACGCUGAAGCGAGGAGCUUACUCUUCUUGGAUGAGUUGCGAACGGGUGAGUAACGCGUAGGUAUCCUGCCUUGUAGCGGGGGAUAACUAUUGGAAACGAUAGCUAAUACCGCAUAACAAUGGAUGACACAUGUCAUUUAUUUGAAAGGGGCAAUUGCUCCACUACAAGAUGGACCUGCGUUGUAUUAGCUAGUAGGUGAGGUAAUGGCUCACCUAGGCGACGAUACAUAGCCGACCUGAGAGGGUGAUCGGCCACACUGGGACUGAGACACGGCCCAGACUCCUACGGGAGGCAGCAGUAGGGAAUCUUCGGCAAUGGGGGCAACCCUGACCGAGCAACGCCGCGUGAGUGAAGAAGGUUUUCGGAUCGUAAAGCUCUGUUGUAAGUCAAGAACGGGUGUGAGAGUGGAAAGUUCACACUGUGACGGUAGCUUACCAGAAAGGGACGGCUAACUACGUG